UACGUAGGGUGCAAGCGUUGUCCGGAAUUAUUGGGCGUAAAGAGCUCGUAGGCGGUUUGUCGCGUCUGCUGUGAAAACUCGGGGCUUAACUCCGGGCCUGCAGUGGGUACGGGCAGACUAGAGUGCGGUAGGGGAGACUGGAAUUCCUGGUGUAGCGGUGAAAUGCGCAGAUAUCAGGAGGAACACCGGUGGCGAAGGCGGUUCUCUGGGCAUGACCUGACGCUGAGGAGCGAAAGUGUGGGGAGCGAACAGG
rnacentral:rRNA from 1 species